AUGUCGUUUGUCUGCCCGCCUGAUUAAUCUUUUUUUUUUUUAAGGAAAAAUCUAAUUGGCUAAUGGCUAUUUGCUAUGCAAGAGUCGAGAUGACAUAUAUGACAAGUGGAUUGGCAGGUGGCUGGUUGUUGGCUGCAAAAGAGAGACAGAAAGGAAGAAGAAAAUGGGGGAUCUAUGCGCCUUGGACUUUGAUGGGGUUCUCAGUGACAGCUGUGGCGAAAGCUCUGUUUCUGCCGUCAAGGUCUGUUUCUGGGUUAGUAUGUAGUGACUGAGUGGUAUUGGGAAAACUACACUUUUUCUUUUGGGUUCUUUAUCUGUAUUUUGCUUACAGUAAUGAGAAGCUUUUUACUUCUUUUCCACCCUUCCUUUGGUUAUUGUUUUCACUUUUCAGUCCCAAGGUGGAAGUUCUGAAGUAACUUCAACAGAAACCAGAAUGCCAGGGGCUGACAUUGCAGUAAGCCCCCAUUGAUCCUUGCUUUUUGGCUGUUAAAAAAUUUGUUUUGUGGAAGAUCGACUUGCAACCCUAAAGAAUGUCAUAAAAGAGCCUGAAUUGGAUGGAUGGAACUUGUGGGAUUGGGGUUACAACACCGAGAAAGAGAGAGAAGCAGCUAGAAUUCCCCGGAUUCACCUUCUACAGCUCUCUGACUUUGUCAAGAAGCUGAAAUAGUUUUUCGGUUUGCCAUACAAGUCAGAUUAGCUGAUUCAUUUCACAGUACCGUCAUUUAUGUUUACAUUUGCUGGAGUUUGGGCAACAAAGAUCAAACCAAGAAAUUUUA